rnacentral:rRNA from 1 species
AUUGAACGCUGGCGGAAUGCUUUACACAUGCAAGUCGAACGGCAGCACGGGGGCAACCCUGGUGGCGAGUGGCGAACGGGUGAGUAAUAUAUCGGAACGUGCCCAGUCGUGGGGGAUAACGUAGCGAAAGUUACGCUAAUACCGCAUACGAUCUACGGAUGAAAGCGGGGGAUCGCAAGACCUCGCGCGAUUGGAGCGGCCGAUAUCAGAUUAGGUAGUUGGUGGGGUAAGGGCUCACCAAGACAACGAUCUGUAGCUGGUCUGAGAGGACGACCAGCCACACUGGGACUGAGACACGGCCCAGACUCCUACGGGAGGCAGCAGUGGGGAAUUUUAGACAAUGGGCGCAAGCCUGAUCCAGCCAUUCCGCGUGCAGGACGAAGGCCUUCGGGUUGUAAACUGCUUUUGUACGGAACGAAAAAGCCUUGGCUAAUACCCAGGGUCCAUGACGGUACCGUAAGAAUAAGCACCGGCUAACUACGUGCCAGCCGCCGCGGUAA